GAGAACGUCGUUUUGGCGGCACUGGCGAACAGGUCAGAGCUAUUUUAAUAAAGCAGCAAUAAAUACAUAUAAAUAAACGCUUAGAUAAAUUCUGGGCGUUUUUU
rnacentral:tRNA from 1 species